AAAAUCUUGUUGAUUCUGGGGAGCCCAGCGCGUGGCACGAGCGUCACGCCAAACAGCCCGCUCGCCUUCUCUUCGGUGUCGGCCGCCGCCACCUCCCAGAACCUCCUCGUGCCCUCGUGUGCCAGGCCCGCGGUGGCCGAGAUCCACGGUUCACAGCAUGUCCGCCUUGGCCCCUGCUGCGGAGGGAGAGGGAACCCCCGCCCAGCCCGCAUCCGAGAAAGAACCCGAAAUGCCCAGUCCCAGAGAGGAGAGCGAGGAGGAAGAGGACGAGGACAACCAGGAGGAGGAGGAAAAAGAAAAGAGUCUCAUCGUGGAAGGCAAGAGGGAAAAGAAGAAAGUAGAGAGGUUGACAAUGCAAAUCUCUUCCUUACAGAGAGAGCCAUUUACAAUUGCACAAGGAAAGGGGCAGAAACUUUGUGAAAUUGAGAGGAUACAUUUUUUUCUAUGUAAGAAGAAAACCGAUGAAGUUAGAAAUCUACACAAACUGCUUUACAACAGGCCAGGCACUGUGUCCUCAUUAAAGAAGAAUGUGGGUCAGUUCAGUGGCUUUCCGUUUGAAAAAGGAAGUGUCCAAUAUAAAACGAAGGAAGAAAUGUUGAAAAAAUUUAGAAAUGCCAUGCUAAAGAACAUCUGUGAGGUUCUUGAUUUAGAGAGAUCAGGUGUAAAUAGUGAACUAGUGAAGAGGAUCUUGAAUUUCUUAAUACAUCCAAAGCCUUCUGGCAAACCAUAGCCAAAAUCUGAAAAAACUUCUAGCAAAGGCAGUAAAAACGAACGGAACAGUUCUGGAAUGGCAAGGAAGGCUAAGCGAACCAAAUGUCCUGAAAUUCUGUCAGAUGAAUCUAAUACUGAUGAAGAUGAAAAGAAAAACAAGGAAGAGUCUUCAGAUGAUGAAGAUAAAGAAAGUGAAGAGGAGCCACCAAAAAAGACAGCCAAAAGAGAAAAACCUAAACAGAAAGCUACUUCUAAAAGUAAAAAAUCUGUGAAAAGUGCCAAUGUUAAGAAAGCAGAUAGCAGCACCACCAAGAAGAAUCAAAACAGUUCCAAAAAAGAAAGCGAGUCUGAGGAUAGUUCAGAUGAUGAACCUUUAAUUAAAAAGUUGAAGAAACCCCCUACAGAUGAAGAAUUAAAGGAAACAAUAAAGAAAUUACUGGCCAGUGCUAACUUGGAAGAAGUCACAAUGAAACAGAUUUGCAAAAAGGUCUAUGAAAAUUAUCCUAUUUAUGAUUUAACUGAAAGAAAAUAUUUCAUAAAAACAACUGUAAAAGAGCUAAUUUCUUGAGAUAGAGGACAGAGAUGACUCGUUCCCACAGAUUUGAAGAUCUGAUUUAUACCAUUAUACCAGCAAAGAGAAUGUAUUUCCUUUUCUAAAUCCUUGUUAAGCAACGUUAGAACUUACUGCUGACCUUUUUAUCUUGAGUCUUAUGUGAAUUUGAGUUUGCUAUUUUAAAUUGAAUUUCUAUGCCAUUUUUAGUUUAAAAUCUUACAUGGCAUUAACUGUUCCUUGCUUUUAUAGUUGUAUUUUAUACAUUUUGGGUUUCUUUAUAUAAGGUCAUAGAUUCUUGAACUGUUGUGGUUUUAGUGCACUUAAUAUUAGCUUGCUUAAGGCACACUUUUAAUCAAGUAGAACAAAAACUAUUAUGACUGGGAUUUAUACACACAGAGAUUGCAGUAUUUAGUAUAUGAAAUAUUUUGAAUACACAUCUCUGUCAGUGUGAAAAUUCAGUGGCAGUGUGUCCAUCAUAUUAAAAAUAUACAAGCUACAGUUGUCCA